rfam:Felis catus isolate Cinnamon breed Abyssinian chromosome X, whole genome shotgun sequence.
UGUCUUGUGUUAAGGUGCAUCUAGUGCAGUUAGUGUAACAACUCAGAAUCUACUGCCCUAAAUGCCCCUUCCGGCACAGGCU